rnacentral:sRNA from 1 species
GCCAGGCACAGAGGUGUAUGCCUGUAAUCCCAGCAGCUCUGGAGGCCGAGGCAGGAGGAUCAAGAGUUUAAAGCUAGCCUCAGCAAUUUAGUAAGACCCUGCCUCAA